UACGUAGGGGGCAAGCGUUGUCCGGAUUUACUGGGCGUAAAGCGCCUGUAGGCGGCCUGUCAAGUCCGGCCUGAAAGCCCCCGGCUCAACCGGGGGAGGGUGGCUGGAAACUGGCAGGCUUGAGGGCGAGAGAGGAGGGUGGAAUUCCUGGUGUGAGCGGGUGGAAUGCGUAGAGAUCCGGAAGAACACCGGUGGCGAAGGCGGCCUGCUGGGGGUCGUCCCCGCAAGGG
rnacentral:rRNA from 1 species